ACACCCAGAAAGUACAGGAAAGGCAGACGACAACUGUGCUCCGCAGAGCGGGAGGUGGGGGGAACGGCGGAAUAUUAAGGUGGGAGCUCAAGAAGCAGAGACUCUACCUGCCCUAGGCGUUCGUGAAGAGAAGCAGCUGUUGCUAUUGGAGGAGGUGGGUGCAAGGACGGCAGAUGCCAUCCCUGAGAGGCGGUGACUGAGACUAGAUGCGGGUACAGGUAGUGCCUCGGAUCCCCGGGCUGCCUCCUGCCUUUUGAACAUCCCAGGGGUCCCAACCCAGCGCCCUGUGUUUCUAUGUGUGGGUGGGAGAGGUGGGCAUAUGGAUGGAGUUGGCUUCAGGGGAGCCCAGAGAGGGGAAAUGGUGAAGUGACAAUUCGUGAACACGUGUGGUGCUGGAUCAGGAAAGGUAAGGGUGGGGAUGGGAACCAUGGACUAUGCUACUGCUGUCUUCCUCCCACCAAGUAGGCACUCACUCUGCUCUCUGUCUGUCUGUUUACUGGCAGUAUUCAGGCAGUGGGGAUGGCUGAUACCAGCUCAAAACUGGCGGAGGGUGGAGGAGGGCAGAAGAGAACACAUACAUCUGCCUUUUGCUCCAAGGCUCCAGCUGGCUGGGGAUGCAAGAGAGGAAUGAACCUCAAUCCAGGCAGUUCUAGGAAAAGAAGGAGGAGACAUAGACUCGAGGGGAGGAAACCUAGAUGCUGUGGGCCCUUCACUUAGGAUUUCUCAUUAGGAUACUCCAAGCUUCUCGACCCCCAAGGGGAUUCCUGGAUCUCAGCCCCAUGCAGCAGGAUCUCAUUCCCAUUGAGGGACACAAAGUGGGUUGCUGCUCCAUGUGAUGCUCUCUCUCCCUGCUGUCUUGGGCCUUAGAGGAGGGUCUGGGGACCACCUACAGAAACUGCUUCAUGGAUAGUCUCAUAGGUUCCCCUCUGCAUACCCUUUGCUCUCUUGUGUUGUGAUCUCUGCUCAUUCCUUAGGACGUGUUUCUUUGGUCCCAUUCCAGGUAGCAGCCCCAUGGUAAGUCCUUCUCCUCUUUCACAUUGAGUAUUCUCCUUUCCCCCUGCCCCAUGCAUCCACUGGGUACCAAGUGAAAGAAAAUGGUUCCUCUACCCACAAUACUUCUGGGAUAGAAUGUGUGGAUUUUUCACACCAAGCAAUUCUUUUAUUCUUUGAGGACACCAGCUAGGUAUCCUACAAUUUAAUUCAAUUCUGACACUACCCAGAGUUAGUGCAGACUUCUCUGGUUAAGGGCUCAUUCCCAUAAGACUGCCCUCCCCCACUUCAGACAACAGUCACAAGUAAUGGAUCUCCAUGUCACCCACACUUCUGUCUGACUUAGCUACUAGUUGGGAGUUCUCACAACCCCCUCCUCAGGUUCAAUAAUUUGCUAUAAGGGCCCACAGAACUCAGGGAAAUGCUACUUCCUAUUAUUGGUUCAUUAUAAAGAAUAUAAAUUAAAAGCCAGAUGAAGAGGUACAUAUGGCAAGGUCCAGAAGGGUCCCAAAUGCAGAAGCUGCCAUCCAUGUGGAUUUGGGGUACACCACCUUCCCAGAAUAUGAAUGAGUUCACCAACCUGGAAAAUCUCAGACAGUUAGGGUUUUUGUAGAGGUUUCAUUGCAUAGAUAUGAUUGAUGAAAUCAUUGACCAUUGGUGAUUAGCUCAAUCUCCAGCCCCUGUCCUCUCCUUGGAGGUCAAGGGGUGAGGCUGAAAGUUCCAACCCUCUAAUCAUGUCUUAGUGGGGGAGGGGGAACAUGGACAUCCACCUUUUGCUCCAAGGCUCUAGCUGGCUGGGAAUCCAAGGGAGGAAUGAACCUCAAUUUUCAGCUCUAGGGAAGAAAGGAGGAAACAGAGACUCAAGAGGAGGGAACCUAAAUGCUUUGGGUUCUUCACAUAGGAAUUUUCAUUGCGAUACUCUAUGUUUCUCAACCCCCAAGUAGAUUUCUGGAUCUCAGCCUCAGGCAGCAGCAUCCUGAGGAUCUGCCCUGGAUAUGAGGUCCUGAAAGGACCCAGUCUCAAACUGUGCUCUCAACAGUUCGUUUUCAUCUAAUGACAAGGGUUGCUGCUCCAUCUGAUGCCCCCUCCUCCUAAAGUCCAGGGCCUCAGAAGAGGGUCUUUCUGAGAACCACCUACAGAGACUGUCUUACAGAUUCCCCUCUGUAGACCCUUUGCUGUCUUCCUUGUUUCAGUUUUAUAGCCAAUGCUUUAGACUUGGUGAUUUGCACCUAUUCUUGGUGACAUCUCCUAGUUGGUGUUGAAGCCUUUGGUCAUAGCUCAGGUCUAUGAGAUAGCCACAUGAUACCAAAUUCUUUUAGGAUAAUAUAUUAGAAAAAAUAAAUUAUAUUGGUCCUAUUAACCUCUAUAUUUGUUGCAUUUUACAGAUUUGAAGCCAACUCAUAAAUGUCUUCCACAUUAUUUUUUACAGCUGCAUAGUACUUUAUUGUGUCACUACCAUAAUUUAUUUACUCACUUUCCUAUGAGUGGACAUUUGUUUCUAAUAUUAAGCUGGUACAAAUAAUACUGGAAGGAAUAACCUUGUGAAAAUAUACAGUAUUUUUGUAUGUUUGGACGUGUAUCUUCACAGAUUCCUAGAUCUGGUGCUGGUAGGUCAAAUAAUAAGUGCAUGUGCGUAGUUUUAUUAGGUAUUCUCAAAUUUCCCUGGAAAGGGGUACUAUAAGUAUUUACUGCCACCAGCAAUAUAUGUGAGUAUCUGUUUUACUACAUCCUUGUUAAUCAGUUUCUUAUUAUUCUUUUGACGUUUGUAGAGUAUCUGAUGAUUUAACCUCUCUCAUUCCUGAUGUUACUAAUUGUGUCUUCUCCUUCUCUCUCUUUUUAAAAAUUUUUCUGCCUAGAGGGUUAUCAAUUUUAUUGACCAUCUCAAUGAACUAGCGUUUAGUCUUAUUGAUUUUCUUUAUUGUUUUACUGUUUUCUAUUUCCUUGGUUUUUCCCUUCAUAUAUAUUAUUUUUUUUGUUUACUUGGUGUUUAAGUUACUCUACUUUUUCUGGUCACUUAAACUAGAAACUGAGGCCAUUGAUUUGAGACCUUUCUUCUUUUCUAAUAUAGGGAUUUUAGUACUGCAAAUUCCCCUCUAAUACUACUUUAACUAUAUCUCACAAUUUUUGAUGUGUUGUGUUUUCAUUUUUCUUCAGUUUGAAAUUACUUACUGAUUUCUCUUUGAGUUUGUUCUUUGAUGCAAGAGUUAGUUAUUUAGAUGUAUGCUGUGUAGUUCUCAAGUAUUUGGGGACUUUUCCAGUUAUUGAUUUCUAAUUUAAUUACGUUGUAGCCAGAGAACAUACUUCGUGUAACUUGAAUCCUUUUAAUUUACUGAGACUUCAUUUAUGGUCCA
rnacentral:lncRNA from 1 species